UUGUCUUCUCAGCUUUUUGGCUAAGAUCAAGUGUAGUAUCUGUUCUUAUCAGUUUAAUAUCUGAUACGUCCCCUAUCUGGGGACCAUAUAUUAAAUUGAUUUUUGAAAAUGUUAUAGGCAGAGUGGUGGCUCUGAGGCUAGGGAUCUGCACUGGCAAUCGGAAUCCCGU
rnacentral:snRNA from 1 species